UGUGAAGCCAGGAUCCAGCCUGGAAGAGCAGAGAGAUAAGAGUCAUACUGCAAAGGAAUAGGAAGAGAGCUAAACAGGAGAACAUGAUGCAACAACAAGAACAGGCACUAAGAACAAAUGCAAUAAGAGCAAAAGUAGAAAAAGUAGAAAAAUCCACAACAAACAGCAAGUGCCGCCUUUGUAAAGAAGCAGAUGAAACUGUGGACCACCUAAUCAACUUGCCAGGUCUUGGUAAUGUUUGAUUUUCCACUUACAUUGUGCAAAUAUUGACCAUGCAGUGGCUUAUUUUUCCUUUUUUUCUGCUCUGUUCUUGACUUGUUCUUUCUUGUAGGCCUGCUUUGUUUCAUUGGUGUUUAAUAGUUUCUCGUUAUUGACCAUUUGAAGUGCAUCUUCUUCACUGUCCUUUAUAUAUUCUUCAAGGCCUCUUUUCUCCUCCUCUACUGUUUGAUGGACUUGCAGCAUUCCUCUUCCACCUGAGCUGCGAGGGAGGUAGAGCCUAUCUACAUCACUGCGGGGGUGCAGAGCAUGACUGAUGGUCAUUAUUUUCCUGGUCUUACGAUCUAGCCCCACACUGCCUGCAUUUACUUUAAGGAAAGCCCUUUACUUGUAAAGAUGAAUCCUCGCCAGAUUCCCCUUUACAAUUAUAUUCCCAAGCCAGCUGUUCGAUUUGGGUACAAAUCAAAAUGAAAAAAUUGAUUCGUGCACAUCCCUAUUAGCUUUUUCUUGUGUAUCUCCCCUUUGUUUGCAUCUUAGCUCUGUUGAUAUUUUCCUUCUUGGUCAAACCUUGAGUAACUUUCUCAAUUUCACACCUCCAUCAUUUUUCUUUUGCUAUCCUUUGUCUCUGAAAUUCACUGCCUCCCAACAUCCACACUUAUUCCUCCUUGCAAGUAUUUAAACAGCAUCUGAAAAUGUAUAUAUUCUCAAGUCCUUCUCCCUCCAGGGUGCGCUCUGCCAGUCCUGCCAGACCCAGCACCACACUUGCCUGUUCCAGGAGGAGAUGGAAACAGAGAAAACAUGUUCUGGAGGAGAAUGAGAAAACAAGUGACGUGAGCAUUCUGGCCAUUCUAAGAGGCCUUUCACAGUGGUCCUGCUGCUUUUAGAGGUCCCGGGGCACCUCUAAAAUCAGGAAAGAAGGCAUCUCAUUUGACAGGAAAUAAUGUGAAAACAGAGUGAAAGUACAUAUUAUCAAUUGUAAUAAACAAUUAAAUCCCAUUUAUCAGCAGACA